CAGCCGCCGCGGGAAUACGGAGGGUGCAAGCGUUAAUCGGAGUUACUGGGCGUAAAGCGUGCGUAGGCGGUUCGUUAAGUCUGUUGUGAAAGCCCCGGGCUCAACCUGGGAAUGGCAAUGGAUACUGGCGAGCUAGAGUGUGUCAGAGGAUGGUGGAAUUCCCGGUGUAGCGGUGAAAUGCGUAGAGAUCGGGAGGAACAUCAGUGGCGAAGGCGGCCAUCUGGGACAACACUGACGCUGAGGCACGAAAGCGUGGGGAGCAAACAGGAUUAGAUACCCGCGUAGUCCCUGUCUCUUAUAC
rnacentral:rRNA from 1 species